rnacentral:snRNA from 1 species
UUACCAGAGUAACCAUGUAGGCGAGCUCCCCAGGGUAAUUGUCUCUGAUAUGUCCUCCCUAGGAGGUCUAUAUGGAGCAGUUUCUUUUUGGUAUUGGGUGGUGGAACCGGAGCGUGCUCCAUCCACUCCAUGCAUUGACCUGGUAUUGCAGUGCUUCCAGGCCCGGUGC